rnacentral:rRNA from 2 species
AGUUUGAUCCUGGCUCAGGACGAACGCUGGCGGCGUGCUUAACACAUGCAAGUCGAACGCUGAAGCACUGUGCUUGCACGGUGUGGAUGAGUGGCGAACGGGUGAGUAACACGUGAGUAACCUGCCCCUGACUUCGGGAUAAGCUUGGGAAACUGGGUCUAAUACCGGAUGUGACUACUGGCCGCAUGGUCUGGUGGUGGAAAGGGUUUUACUGGUUGGGGAUGGACUCGCGGCCUAUCAGUGUUGUUGGUGGGGUAGUGGCCUACCAAGACGACGACGGGUAGCCGGCCUGAGAGGGCGACCGGCCACACUGGGACUGAGACACGGCCCAGACUCCUACGGGAGGCAGCAGUGGGGAAUAUUGCACAAUGGGGGGAACCCUGAUGCAGCGACGCCGCGUGCGGGAUGACGGCCUUCGGUUGUAAACCGCUUUCAGUAGGGAAGAAGCGAAAGUGACGGUACCUGCAGAAGAAGUACCGGCUAACUACGUGCCAGCAGCCGCGGUAAUACGUAGGGUACAAGCGUUGUCCGGAAAUAUUGGCGUAAAGAGCUCGUAGGUGGUUGGUCGCGUCUGCUGUGGAAACG